UACGUAGGGUGCGAGCGUUGUCCGGAAUUAUUGGGCGUAAAGAGCUCGUAGGCGGUGUGUCACGUCGAUCGUGAAAACUUGGGGCUUAACCCUGAGCUUGCGGUCGAUACGGGCAUCACUGGAGUUCGGCAGGGGAGACUGGAAUUCCUGGUGUAGCGGUGAAAUGCGCAGAUAUCAGGGAGGGAACACCGGUGGCGAAAGGCGGGUCUCUGGGCCGAUACUGACGCUGGAGGAGCGAAAAGCGUGGGGAGCAAACAGG
rnacentral:rRNA from 1 species